rnacentral:rRNA from 1 species
GUUGCGGUUAAAAAGCUCGUAGUUGGAUUUCUGUCGAGGGCGGCCGGUCCGCACUAUGUGCGUGUAUCUGGUUCGGUCUUGGCAUCCUCUUGGGGAUCGUUCGUGUGCUUGAUUGUAUGCGACGGAAUUCAAGACUUUUACUUUGAGGAAAUUAGAGUGUUCACGGCAAGCUAUCGCUUUGAAUACAUUAGCAUGGAAUAAUAAUAUGGGGCGUAAGUUCUAUCUUGUUGGUUCAUAGAAAAUACGCAAUGAUUAAUAGGGAUAAUUGGGGGCACUCGUAUUAACGCGUCAGAGGUGGAAUUCUUAGAUUGCGUUACGACGAACUACUGCGAAAGCAUUUGCCAAGGAUGUUUUCAUUGAUCAAGAACGAAAGUAUGGGGAUCGAAGACGAUUAGAUACCGUCGUAGUCUAUACCAUAAACUAUGCCAACUAGAGAUUGGAGGUCGUUUUAUUUAUGACUCCUUCAGCACCUUAUGAGAAAUCAAAGUUUUUGGGUUCCGGGGGGAGUAUGGUCGCAAGGCUGAAACUUAAAGGAAUUGACGGAAGGGCACCACCAGGAGUGGAGCCUGCGGCUUAUUUUGACUCAACACGGGGAAAACCUUA